rnacentral:misc_RNA from 1 species
UUUUAGAGGUGUAUCGCAGUCCUGUUGCGAAUAAUAUUCAGAGAAGUGAACACGGUCACAGAACUUUACGCAGGUGCAAACUGCGGAAAACAUUUUUUUUUAUACGCACAAUCCUUGCAGUUUUUUUUUUUUUUUCAAGGCUCUUCGAACGCUUUUUGAAUCGAGUGUUAGGCUCUGGAUUACAGGUGCAGAUUUUGUCUGCUCUUGUCUGCUCCCAAAGCUACCAGUGGCGAGAAAAUUCUCACGGAAUCGCCCGUUGCAAGGAACACGCCUUCAAUCUGGGAUAUAAAUAAGCCACCAAACUUUCCACAUUUCAGACUAGCAAUCACUACUUCGAGAUUCUUCAAGCAAGAAAGCCUUACGGUUUUUUGUAUUCAACCGGUUGCGACAUAGGAUGCAGUGAUAACCACAGGCUGUCGUUGCCAGAGGAGGU